GACGAACGCUGGCGGCGUGCUUAACACAUGCAAGUCGAACGGGCCUUGUCCCCUUUUUUUUGGGGGUGGGGUUAGUGGCGAACGGGUGAGUAACACGUGAGUAACCUGCCCCUCACUUCUGGAUAACCGCUUGAAAGGGUGGCUAAUACGGGGUGUUCUGGCCUGCUCGCAUGGGUGGGUUUGGAAAGAUUCGACCGGUUUUGGUUGUUUUGGUGGGGGAUGGGCUCGCGGCCUAUCAGCUUGUUGGUGGGGUGAUGGCCUGCCAAGGCUUUGACGGGUAGCCGGCCUGAGAGGGUGGGCGGUCACACUGGGACUGAGACACGGCCCAGACUCCUACGGGAGGCAGCAGUGGGGAAUAUUGCGCAAUGGGCGCAAGCCUGAUGCAGCGACGCCGCGUGAGGGAUGGAGGCCGUCGGGUUGUGAACCUCUUUCGCCAGUGAAGAAGGUCCUGCUCUUUGUGGUGGGGUUGACGGUAGCUGGGUUAAUGAAGCGCCGGCUAACUACGUG
rnacentral:rRNA from 1 species